AUACCUUGGGAUGAUGAUUACCAAGGUCCAAGGUUAGUGACCUCCACUGCACAUAGCAUGUGCGUUCACUCAAGGUCUACCCAAGUGGUAGAGCCUGCAUCAUAAUCUAUGAUUUUGUAGAUUCUUUUGAAAGCAGCUACUA
rnacentral:snRNA from 1 species